GUGAGUCAUCGAAUCUUUGAACGCACAUUGCGCCCUUUGGUAUUCCGAGGGGCAUGCCUGUUCGAGCGUCAUUUCAAACCUCAAGCUCUGCUUGGUAUUGGGUACGGCCCCCCGUCCCCGGGGAGGCCGUCCUGAAAGUCAGCGGCGAGGCUGUCCAGCUUCAGGCGUAGUAGAACCUUUCGUCUCGCCUUGCGAGCCUGGGCCGCCCUCGCCGGAUAACCUUCAUCCACAAGGUUGACCUCGGAUCAGGUAGGGAUACCCGCUGAACUUAAGCAUAUCAAUAAGCGGAGGA
rnacentral:misc_RNA from 1 species